rnacentral:rRNA from 1 species
GAUGAACGCUAGCGGCAGGCCUAAUACAUGCAAGUCGAACGGUAAGUAUGGUAGCAAUAUUAUACGAGAGUGACGUACGGGUGCGUAACACGUAUGCAGCCUACCCUUUACAGGCGGAUAGCUCGGGGAAACUCGAAUUAACCCGUCAUAAUAUAAUUGGAUGGCAUCAUUUGAUUAUUAAAACUCCGGUGGUAAAGGAUGGGCAUGCGUCUGAUUAGUUAGUUGGCGGGGUAACGGCCCACCAAGACGAUGAUCAGUAGGGGAACUGAGAGGUUGAUCCCCCACACUGGCACUGAGAUACGGGCCAGACUCCUACGGGAGGCAGCAGUAGGGAAUAUUGGUCAAUGGAUGCAAGUCUGAACCAGCCAUGCCGCGUGCAGGAAGAAGGCCUUCUGGGUUGUAAACUGCUUUUGCCAGGGGAUAAAAUUUCCUUGCGAGGAAAAUUGAAGGUACCUGGUGAAUAAGCCACGGCUAACUACGUGCCAGCAGCCGCGGUAAUACGUAGGUGGCAAGCGUUGUCCGGAUUUAUUGGGUUUAAAGGGUGCGUAGGCGGCUUUGUAAGUCAGUGGUGAAAUAUGUCAGCUUAGCUGAGAGGGUGCCAUUGAUACUGCAGAGCUUGAGUACAGAUGAGGUAGGCGGAAUUGACGGUGUAGCGGUGAAAUGCUUAGAUAUCGUCAAGAACACCUAUAGCGAAGGCAGCUUACUAGGCUGUAACUGACGCUGAGGCACGAAAGUGUGGGGAUCAAACAGGAUUAGAUACCCUGGUAGUCCACACUGUAAACGUUGAUUACUCGCUGUGUGCGAUAUACAGUACGCGGCCAAGCGAAAGCGAUAAGUAAUCCACCUGGGGAGUACGCCGGCAACGGUG